ensembl:lncRNA
ACUUAUGUAUGUAUGUAUGUAUAUAUAUGUAUAUAUUGUACUAUUCUUAGUUAGCGUAUUGUCUGUCUUGUCUUAAUGUUGGUUUAAAAUGGAGCACUGUAACAAAAAAUAAUUUCCCCCAGGGAUCAAUAAAGUAUUCUGAUUCUGAUUCUGAUUCUGAUUCUGAAUAACAAGUAGAAAUAAGUUGAAAAACACUUACAGUUAGAUUACAUCAAUGCUAUUUAUCGAUUUGAAGGGAUAGGUAAAGCGUCUUACCCAGAGUUAUUUAUGGCAUCAAGGUUGCUUUUCUUCUGAUUCUGAGCAUACAGUGGAAACACUGAUUCAGGAGACUUACGGAUGCCCCUCUGGUGGUCCUCCUUGGGCUCUCGCACUCUGGGGCCUCUGGAUGUCUGGAGCCUGGAUCUCCUCCAUGCCUGCUUCAUGCCUUGGGGGACGGGGCUAUGGCUCUCUACAUUCUCUAGCAGACCAUUACACGGGGAAACCUUUUGAAUACAAGCGCACUGAUCCACACAGGUGUGCACAUGGGUGUUCACUGUUCAUAGACAUAAACUACACCUUUAUUGGCUGCUAUUUCCAAGCACAUUGUGCGCUGUCGGUCCUGCUUGCUACACAACAACAUUCAAUAUUUAGUAUUUACUGCUGUUUACACUUAGCUAGAUUAACGUGACGGUGUUGUGUUUAGUAUGUUGCUCUGUUUUUUUGCUUGUUUUCUCUUCUUUUUCUCUCAACAGGUGAUCCAGGAGAUUUUUUUUCUCUUUUUUCUCUUUUUAAGUGCCCUUUCUCACUGUCCCUCUUCCCUUCUUUUUUUUCUUUUCCUUCAUCUUUCUUUCUCCCUUUUCUAUCCCUCAGUCAUGUCUGUCCUGUCUGUAACAACUAAAGAUAAAAUAAAAUAAAUAAUAACAACAAAGGUCGAUCAAAUGGACCAAUACGGCAAGGCCGUGAUGAUCCAUUUGGCAAAGUAAAUCCGUUGGGUAUCCUUGUUGGUCUUCAGACAACAAUUCUGACGGCUAAAGAACCAAAUGGGACAGGCAAAAAAAAAAAAAAAGGAGACUUAGGUUAAACAGGAGAACUAUGCCUUUUUAUAACGCCAAAAUUCAAAUUUACAUGCUAUGUUUUGCUGUACCUAAGCCACAGGAAAACUGUGUAGUCUAAAUGUUCACCAAACAAAAUUCAGUAAUAAUGUGUUUCAAACAGUGUCAACCUAAACAGAAACUCCACCAUACAGUGAAAUUACAUUUUUCUUAUAAAAGAAACCAAAACAUGUCAUCUGCCUCCAACACCCCUGCUAGCCCUCCUUUCUCAGCUUCCCUCAUCCAUAACGUGUCUCGUCUUCAUCAUUUCUUCGGGUUUGAGCCUGCGCUGGAAUGGUAGCGCUGGGCAGGAUGCCUGCUGUGUUUGCUUCAGAUUACUCCUCACCCCCCACCCGACCCUGUGGCUUGUCACGUGUUCUAUAAUGUUGUGCUGUCGACAUUUAUGUGCUUUUUUCUGCAGAGGAGCUUUUUUGUUUCCCGUUCUCAUGCUUUCCUCCGAGGAGCCCAGCAUGAGUAGAGGUCUCC